UGUGUAGGCGGUUCUUUAAGUUUGGUGUGAAAUCUCCCGGCUUAACCGGGAGGGUGCGCCGAAUACUGAGGGACUAGAGUACGGGAGAGGAAAGUGGAAUUCCUGGUGUAGCGGUGAAAUGCGUAGAUAUCAGGAGGAACACCGGUGGUGUAGACGGCUUUCUGGACCGUAACUGACGCUGAGACACGAAAGCGUGGGUAGCAAACAGGAUUAGAUACCCUGGUAGUCCACGCCCUAAACGAUGCAUAUUUGGUGUGGGCAGUUCAUUCUGUCCGUGCCGGAGCUAACGCGUUAAAUAUGCCGCCUGGGGAGUACAGUCGCGAAGGCUGAA
rnacentral:rRNA from 1 species